rnacentral:rRNA from 1 species
UGCGUAGGGACCAAGCGUUGUUCGGAUUUACUGGGCGUAAAGGGCGCGUAGGCGGCUUAACAAGUCACUUGUGAAAUCUCCGGGCUUAACUCGGAACGGCCAAGUGAAACUGUCAAGCUAGAGUGCAGAAGGGGCAAUCGGAAUUCUUGGUGUAGCGGUGAAAUGCGCAGAUAUCCAGGAAGAACACCAAUGGCGAAGGCAGCUCUCUGGGACGGUAC